GCCAGGCAUGGUGGCACAUGCCUGUAGUCCCAGCUACUUGGGAGGUUGAGGUGGGAGGAUCGCUUGAGCCCAGGAGGUCUAGGCUGAAGUGAGCAGAGAUUGCAUCACUACACUCCAGCUUGGGCAACAGAGCUAGAUCCUGUCUCAA
rfam:Gorilla gorilla gorilla genomic chromosome, chr1, whole genome shotgun sequence